GGAGAAUGCCCAAUUAGGAGGGUAGCUGUGGGGGCAGGGCAUGCUGGGCCUAUGACACAGGGAGUGCUUGGGUUCAGGAAGGUUCCACACAGCCGUCAGCCACUGGCUGCAGCGCUUGGGUUCCACAGCCCUGCACCGUGAGGGCAGUGAGGAGUGACCCAGGAGGUCCAGUGACGCAGGUGCGCUGGAUGCGGAACUCAGCACAUAGAGAACUUGUAGCCAGCAACAUUGGUGUCGCCAGCAGUGUACACAGGCGGCUGCUCCUCACCUUGGGCUCUGAAGGGAAGCACAUGGGCUGAGUGUACCGAGGAGAGACUGUAUAUAGCCUGCAGCUUGGGACCUAGAAAGAAGACUUUAAGCAGAUCACUCAGUGACUACUCUCCCCUUCUGCCAGUUCAGUUUUCUAGAACUAUGUGGAGAUGCAGUGUAGUGAGGUGGGGGAAGGAAGCUACUUAGACAUCGUCUAAACCCAGACUUUGCAUUUCCCUGCCAGAGCUGGUCCCUAGGGUCUGAAGAUCUGGCAUGGGUCCCAGGAAGCAGGCUGUGGGUCCUCAAGAAACAGAACAGACCAUAGGACCUUGUGGACCUCCUCUUCUGUAGGGAUUAACAUCUGGUCUGGGUGCUAGCAAAUAGCCAGUGGAGCUGCUGGGGAGUAUGUCCCUGGAGGACAUGGCAAAUCCUACAAGUGGCUACAUGGAAAGGUUCUACAUGCAAAGGUUCUAACAGGUAGCUGCAUGCCUGGGCCUGUCUAGAUCAGAGCCAGCUACAGAGAGGCAGUGGUAAUGGGCAGAGACAAGGGCCAAAGUUAACGUGUGGACAGUGGGGUCUAAGGAGCAGAGGCGUCUGCUGCUCCAAAUCAGAGGUCAGGUGUGUAGGAGCGAGCCUGGCAGACAUCAGUCCCUGGAGAAUGUGAAGCUCUCCUCGGGUUAUCUCUCUGAUAUCGCAGAGCUGGAACUGGGUGCUUCCUGCCUCGGUGGACAGCUCUUGGUCUGUGGUCUCCAGGAGGAAGCAGAGGCAAGACACUGAUAGGUGCUGCUGGUGAUGAAAUUCAGACAAGAGGCAACGGAAGGAAGGAAGAGAGUGGCUGAGACCCGAGGCCAGUGAAUGUAGACUUUAUGGGUUGUGGGGUCCUUCAAGGAGGUCCUCACAGUAGAUAGCUCCACACAGAGAAGAUGCUCACCACAGGGUGUCACCUCCACAGGCUUCAGGAGGGCAGGUCCACAGGGUCCCAUGGUCUGUUCUGUUUCUUGAGGACCCACAGCCUGCUUCCUGGCUCUGCCCUGUUUCAGAGUCUGUCCAAUGAACUGGGUCUGCUCCACUCCUAAUGUAGCACCCUGUCCCUACAUGUCACCCUGGGGCCACCCUACUACAGAAUGAGCUCAGCUCCUCCUAGUCCAGAGUCCUCAGCUAGCUCUGGAGCCUGGCAGCCCUAGGGAGAUGAGGGACUGAAGGGCUGAUGACCUGCCUUGCUUGGAGCUGAAGACCAGCAACAGCAACACAUGGAGUCCCUGUGAUGAAGGACAGCUGAGGCAGGAGGGGAUGGAAGACAAGCUGGUGUUGAGGAAGGUCCAAGUGCUAUGAAGGCUCAGGGAAGAGAGAGGUGGUGUGGACUAUCUGGAUGGUUCUAACUACUCCACCUAAAGCUACGGCACUGACAUGGGGACUGUGCCAGAGGCCUCACGAAGCUGUAUCCUCUCAUGAUAAGUGAGGAGUGACUGUGGCCCAGGGUGAUGGGAUCAGGGUCUCUAAGCCCUGCCUCCUUUGCUCCUCUUUAUAUUGACCAGCCCCAGGUUGUUCCCCAUUGUUCCUACAGCUCUAUCCCCAGCCCUUAUGGGCCAUCAUUAGUACCACUGUUUUCCACCGCCUUUGUAAGGAAAAUCCUCCAUCUCCGAGCUGCUUCUUCUUCAUGAAUGGUGAUCCAGGGCUGGUGGGAGGCAGAGAAGGUGCUCUGGUGUCUGGCACAACUUCUGGGCAAGGAGAUCCUCGGUCACAGACCCUGAACCACGGCCAUGCAAGAUCCUGCCUUUCCACCUGGCCCUGCACAUGCUUCUGUUCCACUGUCACCAAGAGCCCACUAAUGGUAAAUGGUGUCACCAUCAGCUCUCCUAGGAUGCAGAAAAUUCUCUGUCAAACCCACCUCUUGGAGCCUCCCCAAUGCCAAUGCUGGCUAGGACACGAAGACUACCUGGUUCCAGCACCAUGACCUGAGCUGCAAGCCUUGGCGGCAUCAUUAAUGCAACUCUAGCACUCUGGUGUGAGGAGGGGGCCGCCCGGCUGCCGCUCCUCUUCCCGCCCUGAGAUGGAUGUUCCUUUAUUGCCCAUAAAUCUACGCACAGACUCUGUAAAGACAAACCGGAGGCCUGCUAGUCCCUUGUGUUUGUUGGGCUGGUAGGCUGUGGGUUUAAUUAGGCCUCAGCACUCGCAGGAGCAGCUCUGGAGAGUUGAGGGGCAGGCCACGCCAUGCUAGGUCUUCAAGAGAGCAGGAUCUGCGCAGGAGCAGGGUCCAACCCCUCGCUUUGUCUGGGGGAAUUCAGGUUGGUCCAUGUGAAGGAAUCAUAUAUCACUCACUCCUCCUUCAAACGUCUGUCUGUGUGGGUACACAUGCUGAGCCCUGCAAUGUGGUCUGCUCUUGCCCAUGUAACUCUGCAAUAGCCCAGGCCCAGGCUCGUCUGGGCAACCUUCAAGCAGUGACUGUCCGCCCUUAAGAGGUCUUCCUUUCUGUGCCUUCUGUUGGAACAGAGUAGGCACCUAAUGGAUACAUGCAGCAGAUGAGUGGGGCCCUACCUCUUCCUACCUGUGCUGAAGAAUGAAGCAUUUCUCCAGGCCCAGCCAUAGUACUGGCCCUGAGGGCAGGGUACAAAUGCUGAUACGCACAGCCUGCCAGCCUUCUGAGCCAGGAGGCUAUCUAAGCCAGGAAGGUAGGUAGGUAGGUAGGUAGGUAGGUAGGUAGGUGUAGCUUGUCCCCCACCACCCCUGUG